UACGGAGGAUGCAAGCGUUAUCCGGAAUUAUUGGGCGUAAAGCGUCCGCAGGUGGCACUUCAAGUCUGCUGUCAAAGGUCGGGGCUUAACCCCGGGAAGGCAGUGGAAACUGAAGCGCUAGAGUGUCGUAGGGGUAGAGGGAAUUCCCGGUGUAGCGGUGAAAUGCGUAGAGAUCGGGAAGAACAUCGGUGGCGAAAGCGCUCUACUGGACGACAACUGACACUCAGGGACGAAAGCUAGGGGAGCGAAUGGG
rnacentral:rRNA from 1 species